UGGGGUAUAGCCAAGUGGCAAGGCACUGGUUUUUGAUACCGGCAUUCAAAGGUUCGAAUCCUUUUACCCCAA
rnacentral:tRNA from 1 species